GCCUGGAUAGCUCAGUUGGUUAGAGCAUGGUGUUGAUAAUGCCAAGGUGGCAGGGUCGAUCCCCUUAUGCGACA